CGGGAGGCAGCAGUGGGGAAUAUUGCACAAUGGGCGAAAGCCUGAUGCAGCGACGCCGCGUGAGGGAUGACGGCCUUCGGGUUGUAAACCUCUUUCAGCAGGGACGAAGCGCAAGUGACGGUACCUGCAGAAGAAGCACCGGCCAACUACGUGCCAGCAGCCGCGGUAAUACGUAGGGUGCGAGCGUUGUCCGGAAUUACUGGGCGUAAAGAGCUCGUAGGCGGUUUGUCGCGUCGUCUGUGAAAACCCGCAGCUCAACUGCGGGCUUGCAGGCGAUACGGGCAGACUUGAGUACUGCAGGGGAGACUGGAAUUCCUGGUGUAGCGGUGAAAUGCGCAGAUAUCAGGAGGAACACCGGUGGCGAAGGCGGGUCUCUGGGCAGUAACUGACGCUGAGGAGCGAAAGCGUGGGUAGCGAACAGGAUUAGAUACCCUGGUAGUCCACGCCGUAAACGGUGGGCGCUAGGUGUGGGUUUCCUUCCACGGGAUCCGUGCCGUAGCUAACGCAUUAAGCGCCCCGCCUGGGGAGUACGGCCGCAAGGCUAAAACUCAAAGGAAUUGACGGGGGCCCGCACAAGCGGCGGAGCAUGUGGAUUAAUUCGAUGCAACGCGAAGAACCUUACCUGGGUUUGACAUAUACCGGAAACGCCUAGAGAUAGGUGCCCCCUUGUGGUCGGUAUACAGGUGGUGCAUGGC
rnacentral:rRNA from 1 species